rnacentral:rRNA from 1 species
GACGAACGCUGGCGGCGUGCUUAACACAUGCAAGUCGAACGUGAUUUUUGUGGAAAUUCUUUCGGGAAUGGAAAUGAAAUGAAAGUGGCGAACGGGUGAGUAACACGUGAGCAACCUACCUUACACAGGGGGAUAGCCGUUGGAAACGACGAUUAAUACCGCAUGAGACCACAGAAUCGCAUGAUAUAGGGGUCAAAGAUUUAUCGGUGUAAGAAGGGCUCGCGUCUGAUUAGCUAGUUGGAAGGGUAAAGGCCUACCAAGGCGACGAUCAGUAGCCGGUCUGAGAGGAUGAACGGCCACAUUGGAACUGAGACACGGUCCAAACUCCUACGGGAGGCAGCAGUGGGGAAUAUUGCACAAUGGGGGGAACCCUGAUGCAGCGACGCCGCGUGAGCGAAGAAGGUUUUCGAAUCGUAAAGCUCUGUCCUAUGAGAAGAUAAUGACGGUAUCAUAGGAGGAAGCCCCGGCUAAAUACGUGCCAGCAGCCGCGGUAAUACGUAUGGGGCGAGCGUUGUCCGGAAUUAUUGGGCGUAAAGGGUACGUAGGCGGUUUUUUAAGUCAGGUGUGAAAGCGUGAGGCUUAACCUCAUUAAGCACUUGAAACUGGAAGACUUGAGUGAAGGAGAGGAAAGUGGAAUUCCUAGUGUAGCGGUGAAAUGCGUAGAUAUUAGGAGGAAUACCGGUGGCGAAGGCGACUUUCUGGACUUUUACUGACGCUCAGGUACGAAAGCGUGGGGAGAAACAGGAUUAAAUACCCUUGUAGUCCAAGGGCGAAUUCCAUAUUGGAUAUCAAGGUUAUCGAUACCCACCACUCGCGGGUGAGUUCACAAUAAAAAAAUUUUUUCCCUUUAGGGGGGGUUAUUA